rnacentral:misc_RNA from 1 species
UAAUAAAAGUGUUUUAUGGCACUUUUUAAACAAUCCAUAUCCACCUUGUGUGCAAUGUUUUUUUGAAAGGGUCUCGCUCUCUCUUGAGAGAGAUGAGGCUUUUUUUCUCUUUAACUUCUCAACUCUUAUUUUUAAUUGCCAUUUGUCUGAAAAAAAAUUAUUAUUAUGAAUAACUUAAUUCAAAAUA